rnacentral:rRNA from 1 species
AAAGAAACCAACAGGGAUUGCCUCAGUAACGGCGAGUGAAGCGGCAAAAGCUCAAAUUUGAAAUCUGGCCCUUUCAGGGUCCGAGUUGUAAUUUGCAGAGGAUGCUUCGGGAGCGGCGGCAGUCUAAGUCCCCUGGAACGGGGCGUCAUAGAGGGUGAGAAUCCCGUCUUGGACCGCAUGCCCGUGACCGUGUGAAGCUCCUUCGACGAGUCGAGUUGUUUGGGAAUGCAGCUCUAAAUGGGUGGUAAAUUUCAUCUAAAGCUAAAUACUGGCUGGAGACCGAUAGCGCACAAGUAGAGUGAUCGAAAGGUUAAAAGCACCUUGAAAAGGGAGUUAAAUAGCACGUGAAAUUGUUGAAAGGGAAGCGCUUGCAACCAGACUCGGCCGCAGAGGCUCAGUGGGCACGUGUGCCCAUGCACUCCUCUGUGGUCGGGCCAGCAUCAGUUCUGACGGCCGGUCAAAGGCCCCCGGAAUGUAUCCUCCUCCGGGAGGUCUUAUAGCCGGGGGUGCAAUGCGGCCAGUCGGGACUGAGGAACGCGCUUCGGCACGGAUGCUGGCGU